UACCAUGUACAAACAAGGAGAAGGUGAGGGGCCUGGGCUUCUUCAGCCUGGAGAAGAACUGGGUCAGGGGACCAAAGAGCCAUCAUUCCAUGCAUACGUGGAGGUCAUCAAGAAGGUGAAGAAAGCUCCUUAUUGCAGCAUGCAGCUUGUUCUCCUGCCCUCCCAAUGUGCAGUAUCCCACUAGACCAAGAUCCUUUUAGGAUCUUUUCUGGGGAAACCAGCAAGUGAGAGAUACCACAGACAGCAGCCAACUGCAGGUCAGAUGGCACAAGGAAAGUAUGUGGGAUGCAGUUUUCCCCAAAGCGCUAAAUGAAUGCAGCAGUGAGGGAAGGUGCUGGGCUGACAUCCUCCGCUCUGGAGACCCAAGUCCUACGUUCACAGAUGAAGGCAUAAUAGCAGGACUUUAGCUGCAUUCCUGCACUGACCUGGAGAAAACGUGCUUCAGACGGAGAGGACGCUACACUCUGUGAGCCUGCUGAGUUUUCAGUGUUGGUGCUGUAAUUGCCAGCUAUAAUGAUGGUUUUGUGCAAUGGAGGGAGAAGAAAACGUCUCGCUAUGUACAUAAAGGGAAGCAAAAAUUGGCUGGGAGUAGAUUCAGCAACAAAACCUCCCAGCAGUUAACACUCUCUUUGCUUGGGACUAAAGUGUCUGAGCCAUCCAUCUGAACAUGAAAAGGGUGCUUACAAACCUUGCUUUAAACCAACUUGUUUAAAAGCCCUAGUGCAAUACGGGGAGGCAAUGCUUUCUCCAGUGGUAGCUAAACAAGGUGGACCCUGACAUUAUAAUCCCUAAACUGACAUUUGAAAGAGCAUUGGUGAACAGGUUUUGUAAAUUCUCCUUUCAUCUUUGUGUGGCUGUGCUGGGAGAUGAAAAUCUGCGUCGUGUUUGAGAUGGAGCUAUUGCUAUCCUCACUGAAAGCAGCUGUUGGUAUGGGACCUUAGGAGACUGGCUCCAGGUUCUGCUGAAGGCUGAGCUGACUCCUUCCCACUGUCCUUAAGUCAGCCCUGACAUUUCCUUCUCUGUCCUAAACUCUGGUCCUGAUGGACCACCUGUCAGCAGUCUUGUUAUGCUGUGGGUGUAGUAAGGUCUCUAAGGAAAGACGGUUCUGUUUUCGAUCUCCCUUUGCUGUGAAACAAACCCUUCCUGGCCUGGGCUAAUGUGAAUUAUGCACACCCUGCCCCGCAUAACAGGUUUGUUGUGCCAAAGCAGUACGUUCAACAGAGCUAAAUUCAUCAGCAUCUAAGACACUCUUUACUCCUCAGGCACCAUGCACUCCCGAAAAUACCACGUGGCCUGUGGCUAACACUAAGCAACGGCAGGCAACGCUGUCAAUAAUAGCUUGGAAAUUUGCAUUCCUCUCAGCAGUGAUUUACAGGGUGGCUUAGACUCCUUCCAGAACAGGUGAAAGGAAGAUUAGCUGGCAUGGCUUCGGGGAAGCUUCCCCACACCACAGCAAACGUUGCUACAAGGAGAGGCUUCGUUAGUCUGCAGUGGAGCACAAGCAACUAGAGAUGUUUGCUAACAGGUUGUGCAGAAGUGCAAGUGUCUGUUUUAUUCUUACAUUGUUUUAUUUUUAUGUCACUUCUAA